rnacentral:rRNA from 1 species
CAGUCGCCACGGUAAUACGGAGGGUGCAAGCGUUAAUCGGAAUUACUGGGCGUAAAGCGUGCGUAGGCGGUUUGUUAAGUCUGUUGUGAGAUCCCCGGGCUCAACCUGGGAAUGGCAAUGGAUACUGGCAAGCUAGAGUGUGUCAGAGGAUGGUGGAAUUCCCGGUGUAGCGGUGAAAUGCGUAGAGAUCGGGAGGAACAUCAGUGGCGAAGGCGGCCAUCUGGGACAACACUGGCGCUGAGGCACGAAAGCGUGGGGAGCAAACAGGAUUAGAUACCCCGGUAGUCCCUGUCUCUUAUAC